rnacentral:lncRNA from 1 species
CUGGAAGCUCCCUGAAAGCCUGGCAGGCCACCCUACUUCAGCUGCAUUCGGUCCAUACACUGAGGGUCUCAGUGGGGAAAAAGCAGAGUCAUUUUAAAGAAACAUGGAUCUUAGUUUCUAGAAGGUUUUUCCCCAUCUGGCAGACAAAUUUAUGCCUAUUCCACACACAGGGGAAAGAUGGACACUACCGGUUCCGUGGCCCAGGGUUUUGGAAGAGGCGGCCUCCGGAUGACUGGAUGCACUUCUCCCUGGGACUCACCCUGUGUCGUUACAGCUCGAGCUUACUGAAAAUAACAGACAGACACCUCCACUUGUCCCCUCCAACAGAGUGGCUGCACUGGCAGCUCUCUAAUGAGUUCUAACCCCAUAGGGGCAGUUAUGAAACUGAUGCAAAAAGGAUACAAUCAAGAUAGAAGUCAAUAAGGAGCACAGAAGGCAUGAGUAAGACUUGCAUCAGAGAGGCCAAAACCCAAAAUGCGCUGGGGGUUGUGGGAGCGGCUGAAGAGCCUGGAGAAGCCGCUUAUAGUCAUUUUAAGUCAGAUUAAAGGAGUGUGUUUGGCUGACGAGAGGACCCCAUGCUUGCACGUAUGGAGCCUUAUCUCAGCUUCCAUACCUACAAAGGGGACAUGAUUGGUGUCUACCCCAGAGAGUGGUUUUAAGAAUUAAACAAAAU